rnacentral:lncRNA from 1 species
CAGGAAGUUCUUUGCAGAAGAUGAAGAAUCUCAGCCUUGCAAACAGAUCUAGAAGGAAAUGACCUCCACUUAUGUGGCAGUGAACAUGAAGAGACAUCUUGUCCUUAACUUUCUUCCACUCAGCCACAACUUCAUCUCUCUGUAACUUGUUGUACCACCCUUGCAACUGCAAAUAAAUUUCCCCAAUUAUCAAUCCAAAAAUUUUCUUUUUUAUCUACACCAAUAGCUAAUAACAUAAACAACAAUCCCCUGUUUGAUUUCCUCUGUUAAAUUUUUUACUUGAGCCUCAAGAAAAACAGACACAACACACAAGUAAGGGCACAAACCUGAGAGUUGUCUAUUGUCUGUGAAACUGCCAGAGUGAGUUUUGAGGUGAUAUCACUGUGAGUAAGGGUGUAAGUUCUUGGAAGCUUCCCUGGGUGCUUCUUCUCAUCCACUCCUAAAAACAGAACCUUCAGCUUUGAUGCUUCAAAUAUGGCUGGC